GGUAUGGGAUGAGCUUGCGUCCGAUUAGCUAGUUGGCGGGGCAACGGCCCACCAAGGCGACGAUCGGUAGCCGGCCUGAGAGGGUGAUCGGCCACAUUGGGACUGAGAUACGGCCCUGACUCCUACGGGAGGCAGCAGUAGGGAAUAUUGCACAAUGGGGGGAACCCUGAUGCAGCAACGCCACGUGUGGGAAGAAGCAUUUCGGUGUGUAAACCACUGUCGUGAGGGAAUAAGGCCUGUUCUAGGACAGGAUUGAAUGUACCUCGAAAGGAAGCACCGGCAAACUUCGUGCCAGCAGCCGCGGUAAUACGAGGGGUGCAAGCGUUGUUCGGAAUCACUGGGCGUAAAGGGAGCGUAGGCGGAGAUUCAAGCGGAUUGUACAAUCCCGGGGCCCAACCCCGGACCUGCAGUCCGAACUGGAUCUCUUGGAUAGUUCAGGGGCAGGC
rnacentral:rRNA from 1 species